AGAUCCCUAGCGAGCAAAACAAGUCAGUUUUCAGAAAUUUGUAAAAAAGAAAGUAUAGCUUUCUUUGUAACGAAAAGAACCAGCCAGAUAAAUCUAAGGAUAAGCUUUUAUAAUGAUACUGAAAGAACCAUAUUCAACAUCAGUUCUCAACAUAUGACCUAGCUACAAGAACUUAAAUUAAUCUGCUUUCAUGAAUACGAACUUGCUUGGUUCUUUCAUUACAUAUUUGAACAAUACUACGGCACCAACUUACCGACGACAAAAACACAAGAAUCAAAUUGGUGACACUGUAUGACAAAGCUUGACAUUAGUAUUCAAAUAAAUUGUUAUACAGUUUCAUCCGAUAACUCGAGCCUCCAAGGGAACUACGAAAAAGGUCCGAGUUAACAACAGUUCGACUUAUUAGGGCUUCGAGCCUGCUGGGGAAGAUUUAACGGGAAUGAAAAAGAAAUUCGAAACAAAGAGAGUUUGAGUUAUCCGGGGUUGGAGCCAAAUGGGGGAAGUUUGAAGAGGAGAGGUGCAAAAGCAAAUUGAGUAGUCGGUUACGACAGCCCUUAGCAAGAAUAUAUCAUCUGGGAUUAGCAUCUAUUGCUAGGUAUGCAACAUUUCGAUUAAGUUUUUGAUAAAUGUGCAGUUAGCUUAACCCCAACGGAAUGAAGACAAAGACUUAACCCAAGAGCAGUACAUGAUCUUUUAUUCAAUCCUACAUAAAAUCUAGCAGCGAGACCAAACUGAGGGGGAAAAAAUGUAGAUUGCCAAAACAUUAUGUAUCCAAAUUUGGGACAAACAGUAAUAUAUUGUUUGCAAAUUCAGUAUUUUCUCUUAUAUAAACUACUCUCUUUGUUAACAAGCUAAUGCACCCCUGGCGAGCGCAGCCCUAAAGGUGAUGGGUGCUUACGUGCCUAAACCAUUAAAAAUGCAUUGGAUGGGUGGAAUUACAACCACACGAAAUAUAAACAAGAAGGAAAAACGUAACAAAAACGCGAAAUGGGAUUUUAAUUAUUCAGAAUCUUAAAAGAAGUAGCAUGCGGUAAGGAAAAAGCUCGAUUUUGGUAAAAGCGAAAGGCUUUGAAGCAGAUACUUGCUGAAACAAGUUUAGUUUGGGCACUAACGAAGCAGUGAAGAUGAACAGAAGUGCCUUGUCAGGCAAAGAUGGACCGAAGAAGAUGCAUCAGACGAAUGAGGCAUUUUCACUCCACAGGCAAACAAUUAUGAAAAUAUGAUAAUUGGACGGUGCUACAGAAAUCACAGGGUGGAUGUAAAUACGAUGUUAAUAUCACAUGAAAAGACUAGUCAUACAACAGUCAUACUAGGCUCAGUGAAUUAUGGGUACCGGUACAUGCAAUAGGGACUUUCAAGAAAAACUAGCUUAAACUUAAAGUGAAAGCGAACAUACAAGCAUGAAGCAAAAAAAUCAAAGAUGUUGCUGAUGCCAGAAACUUGGUUACAAACAUCCAAAUGUUCAAGUCAAAUGGACAAUUCCAUAAAGGCAGAAAUGGUAAAGUACUACAGGAGGUUGAUAAAAGAUUUGAAGCUUAAGGGCAGAUAAGAAACCCUUCAGCAAUUACAAACAACUUCAAUGAGAAACAACACUAGCAAAACUCUGUAAUUACCUGGCAAUAAUUGAAAAUAGAAGUGUUAAACUUCAUAAGAAUUGGUUUUUGCUGAUCAUGGCACUUACAGUCACAUUUCACAUCAGAAGCCAAACUAUAAACAAAUAACUUGAUAAAUGAAAUGCAGUGACACAUGCUUUGUUGGCAGAUUGCUCCUAAAAGACGUAUGUCUAACAAACAGUACAAUUUUUAGAUAAAAUUGUAUGGAUAAAAAAACUGCAAAUUAAUAAUUUGUAACAAAAAUAGCCAGUUGCAACAAUUGGAAUUUGUUUCCUUGUUACUCAUUUGUAAUGUAAACCAGAGUUUGCAACAUGUAACAUAAACUUAAGGACAAGGUCAGCUUGAAAAUUUGAGACAGGUGCCUGAAAUCACACACUGUUACUGUAUUUCUCAGCGUAUAAGUACAGUUUCUAUUGCCGUAAAAUACAUGUGAAAAGUCAACCUUGCUUUCUAUCCAAAAGUGUAGUUUACAGGAAACUUAUGCAGAAAAGAUUUCCAUU